rnacentral:lncRNA from 1 species
GAAAUCAACGGUCGGUCGGAGUGGAAGAGAGGAAAUACGUAGCAUCUUCCAGCUGGACAAGGAACUGACUUUUUGGAGGCUGAGAUCUAGCAACAUCCUGGAACUGAUACAAAAGAAAUUAUUUAGGGGGCUACGAGAGGAGCAAUUUACAAACUGAUAAAGGACCCCAAGUAUCUGACCAGCAAGCCCAAGCAAGGAUUCGGUGUUUCCGAGAGCGCCUUGGGGGAUCUGCACUGCGUCUCUGAAGGACUACUAGGACAGACCUGACCAAAAGUCUCACUCACCAAGCUUCUCCGACCACCCCGGGGUGUCCACACUCGGUUCCUCCCAUGACAGCAGCUCCUUGUUCAGAGAGCUCUCCGUAUCACCUUGGGUAAAUAUGAAUAAAAUACACCUCUCUUUUUGAAAACUCUA